rnacentral:misc_RNA from 1 species
AAAAAAAAAAAAAAUAAAACUUUAAUUAGACUAAGGAUUCUGUCUAAUUCUGAUUACCAUGGCUUUGCUUUAAGAAAAUUUUCAAUCGCUAAUCAAUAAUCGGAUGAUCAGAAACCAAAUUAUUUUUAAAAGGCUCACCUUUGCCAAAAGAAGAUAAUAGAACGUAUGGGCUGUUGCCAAAUAAUGAUAGAAAGCUACAGCUCUCCCAAACCAUCUAUAUUCGAAGUAAAAAUACUCAACACAACUGCAGCAACAAAUGCAAAGCAAAAGAACCAGCUGUCCACUGGUCAAUGUAAAUUACUUAAUUGAUUUUUUUUUCAAAUUACAAUUUGCUCACCCUUGUGAUAAAACAUUCAAGCAACUGAAAAGCAAAACUGUUCCAUACGCAGGGGAACAGAAUCCACUGUUCAAGCAAAGAACUCCAAUCCUUUCUGCCUACCUGGAGAACACAGCAAAAAAAUGUUAGGCCAAUUAUAUUUCUUUGUCAGCAUACUAGUCAAGCAAUAAAAGUCCUGAAGUAACAAGCAAAGACUUAUGGCUGGAGCAUCUUGAGGGAACAAUUCAACUGACAGAAUAAAAGUUCUUCAAUCACAAAUGGUCUGGUGUUGUCCGUCGCCGAAUGCGCUCACUACGUCUCCAAGGGUCUGACCCACCAUCUGAAGAAUCAUUGUCCUCAUCUCUGGAAGACGACCCAGUUUCCACAUCAUGAGUCUCCCCCCAAAGCCUGGUAGAUCUCCUUCUGAAAUUCAGCUGCCCUCUCGCUCUUGAGGUACCAGACCAGCUGCUACUCCUCGGACUUGACCCAGGUCGAAACACUCUUAUAAGAAAAAAUACAGUGAGCCAACCACCAUCGUCAAUAGGUAAAAUGUUGUCAUCACCCCUCUCUUCUCCAAAUGAAGAAUGAAGCGUGCUGAUCAAGUCCCCAAGGUCCCUUUGGCGCUCCAGCAACCUCCAAUUUCGUUGCCGUUCUGGAUCAGCCUGUGAUGGUCGAACAAGAGGGUGUUCAAGUCUUGCAUGUUUCCUAAGAUCUGAAUAGGUGCCACUAAAAUCACAAGUUUCACAGGCACAGCUUCUUGAUUUUGCAUUCAUAAAACGACGAGCAGGCUCCAUGGUAAUCCACUCUUUUACCUGCCCCCGACAGAGGGGGCACACCAGUGUUGGUUGUGCUUUUUUAUCACAAGGAAUGGUUCCAGUAGAUAAGGGCUCUUCCUCACUUUGUUCCACAUUAACAGUUGGUUCUGAGCUCCCAACCGUGGCUGUUGUGACCCUAUUUUCUUCUGGUUGAGGAGUUGUCAGUGAGGCCUCAGUAAACGACUUGCGGAACUGAUCAAGACAAUUUGAGUGGCGAUAGCUUGUAUCACACAUGUAAGGACGGCAGCCUUUCUCAUGGGAAGAACAUAUGAGGAGUACUGCAUUGUGAGGAUGUUCCAUACAAACAGGACACCUGGCCUCUUCCCAUUCCUUUAGGUUUUCCUCAGUUUCUGAAGGGAUUUUGGGUGAAGAUAGCCUGCUACAACUGGAGCUGCAAGUGUACGGAGACGCCUUGCACCUAUCAAAAGAUACCGAGCGAUCUCUUCUAUCCUUUGGCAUUCUGAGACUGCACAAAUAUCAACACAACCCUAAAAUCCAACGCUUCUAACAGCGCCACCAAAAUGGUUGAAGCUAUAAGAAAUCACAUAAAGAUUAUACAUAAGACAAUCUGACUAAUGAAAUUAAGCUCAAGGGUUUGUAAAUCAAGAAUAGGAAUAGCACAACAAGAAACCAAAUGCAACAUUUAUGUGAAGGCUUUUAAACAUUCAACAAUCUACUGAAACCCCAGACCCAAGGAAAAAAGAGAAAGAAAAACAUGACCAGGCACACAAAUAGUGACUAGAGGAACACAUUAAAUAUACAUAAAAAUAUAUGUACAAAUCUCAUGAACAAACAUAUACUCAUACGAAAGUUGUGCUACUGAGAUAGGUUUCCUUCAAGGUGAGUAGCCGCUACAGCUACGACUAAGUUGACAGAUAUUUGCUUCACGCUUGCCUAAUAAAUAAACAUAAUGAUACGAAAAUACUCCACUCAUUUGCAGAACCAUAAAGAUAAAUUCAGCUUCUGUAGUAGUU